ensembl:lncRNA
CCACAGCCACUUCCUGACAAAGACAAAUGUAAACGGAAAGAUGCUCACCACUUCCAAAUGUACCUUUCCACCCACAUGCCUGCUUCAUCUGACAUCUUCAUAACCCACGCCUGAGCUAAAAGACCGGUCAGGAGAUGCGUGUACAGUUCCAACCGAGAGGUUCUCCGCAGUUGGUGGGAUAAAGAACAAGUCCGUUGAGAAAAUCAGUGUGGAGCCGGAAAUGAGGGUGACUGUGUCCAACAUGAUUCCAAGAUUUGAGAACUUAUGCAGUGUCCAGCAUGUGCAAAGCUGCUAAGACAUAAAUAUUGUUUGGAUGUAACUACUUAAUAAACAGAACUGUUAGGUAUUUCUUCUGGCCCACGAGUGCUGUGAAGAAAUUUUUACUAUACCAAGGGCACUGUAAACGGAGAAGAUUUGGGAGCCUCUACUGUUAAGGAUUUUGGAGUUUUAUUCUAAAUGUCGCAGGCAAUUAUUAAAAGGGAAAUGGGGAGAGUGAGCUGGAGGCUUUGAUGUUUUCUACUGAAGUGAUAUUUUUAAAAUUUAGACAUUUUAUGUAAGUGAUUUUGCUUUCAAUUACUUGUUUAAUUACAACAAUGUCUUUAGAUUUAGCUCUAAUUAAGAACGUCAGUGUUUUCCUCCCUAAGAGAAAGGUUUGCCCCAAGGUUAGAGACCAAUCAAGAACCCAAGCAGAAGUGAGCUUCUUUUAUUGACUUAAAAUUGUUUCUCCUUCCACAAACUGUCAACAGAAAGGUGGAGAGGGGCUGGACCCAGUACUCUGAUGACUCUUGGUUCACUUUAGGCUGUAAAGAAUGGAAUAGAAAUCUAACAUAGCUCAUGCCAGGAAAUCUGCCUCCUUUAUAAGUGCUUGAAAUUUGUAUCCUUUCAAAUGGGUUCGACUAUUGUAAUAGAGAUUACUCGUGCUCCAGUGUCCACUGGCUCCCUUCUACUUUAGUAAACAAAAGAGCAUCAGUCUCCAUUUUAUUUGGAGUUAGGUCCCCCAGCUAACAGACUGAAUUUUGAGAUGUGGCCAUGUGAUCAAUUCAACUGAUGUUAUGUGGCCUUCACUGAAGGCUGCUUCAAAGGAGCUGAGUCACCUGGAAGGUGUAUUCUCUCUGCCCUGCCUUCUUUUGGCUGUGGCACGGAUUUCAUAGAAGACUACCAGCUCUCUUGGACCAUGAGAUGACCUUGAGAAUGAAAGCCAGAUGCUAGGAUGAUGGAGCAGAAAGAUGGGGGAGCCGGCGUCUCUGAUGACUGUGGAGCCACCACAGUAGUCCUGGACAGUCUUCCUUGGAACUCAUAUAUGUUGGCCUAAAACAAAUUGAUAUUUCUCCAGCAAAGAUGGGUUUACUCAGGAUCAGCAAAUAGCGAUUCAGGAUCUUCUACUGUGGGGCUGCCCUGUGUGUGCUAAGUCGCUUCACUUGUGUCCGACUCUUUGUGACUCCACGGACUGUAGCCUGCCAGGAUCCUCUCUCCGUAGGAUUCUCUAGGCAAGACUACUGGAGUGGGCUGCCAUGCCCUCCUCCAGGGGAUCUUCCUGACCCAGGGAUCAAACUUGCGUCUCUUAUGUCUCCUGCAUUGGCAGGCAGGUUCUUUUCCACUAGCGCCACCUGGGAAGCCCGACCAUGGCGCUAGCCACAUGCAGUUCCUCUCA